GUAAAUACAGUUUGACAAAAACAUUAGAUUGUGAAUCAAGCAACAGAAAUGCAAAUCUUUUUAUUUACC
rnacentral:tRNA from 1 species